CACGUAGGGAGCGAGCGUUGUCCGGAUUUAUUGGGCGUAAAGAGCUCGUAGGUGGUUCCGUCAGUCGGAUGUGAAAACUCAAGGCUUAACCUUGAGACGCCAUCCGAUACUGCGGUGACUUGAGUUCGGUAGAGGAGUGUGGAAUUCCUGGUGUAGCGGUGAAAUGCGCAGAUAUCAGGAGGAACAUCAACAGCGAAGGCAGCACUCUGGGCCGAUACUGACACUGAGGAGCGAAAGCAUGGGGAGCAAACAGG
rnacentral:rRNA from 1 species